rnacentral:tRNA from 1 species
GAGCCAUUAGCUCAGCUGGUAGAGCAUCUGACUUUUAAUCAGAGGGUCGGAGGUUCGAAUCCUCUAUGGCUCA